rnacentral:rRNA from 1 species
GACGUAGGGUGCGAGCGUUGUCCGGAUUUAUUGGGCGUAAAGAGCUCGUAGGCGGCUCGUCGCGUCGACCGUGAAAACCCGCGGCUUAACUGCGGGCUUGCGGUUGAUACGGGCGGGCUAGAGUUCGGUAGGGGAGACUGGAAGUUCCUGGUGUAGCGGUGAAAUGACGCAGAUAUCAGGAGGAACACCGGUGGCGAAGGCGGGUCUCUGGGCCGAUACUGACGCUGAGACGCGAAGCGUGGGGAGCGAACAGG